rnacentral:lncRNA from 1 species
UAUAGGCAAGUAGAGGCCUAGGACCAACUUUCCUUGCUCCUCAGUUUGGUCUGGGAACCAGCAGUGUGAGGUCCCUUGGGAGCUUGCUGCAUAGCAACAAAGGGAAAACUUUCUGUUACCCUCUGAAGGCUGGCUGGAAUGAACUAAUGGUAGAUAGAUCCAUAGAAGGAAAGGUGUAUGCAUUCCUUUCCUGUGCCCAGGACAGUCAUGGGAGUGUGAUUACCCAGUAACCCAGGGACAAUUUUGAGGGGUACUAAAUGAUUUUAGGUGAAUGGGAAAGAAUUGGAGGAAUCUAUGUGUCCUUGCUGUAUGAUGGAAAGGCUUUCCCCUUAUCUGUUUCUAAAGUUUAAACUCUAUUUAGAAGAACAAGUGUUCAUGGGGUCUGACGUGUGAGUUUGCUCUGAGUUGGGCUGUCAGCAUUUCCGUGGCCGGAGGGAAUAGAAUGCCCUGAGUUUCUUCCUCCAUUUAUUCUUUGCAGUAAACUUGGAGAGGUAACAUCCCUUUGGGGCUACCAAGUGGUGCCUCCUGGUGGUACAGAGGCUAGGCAGGGUUUGAGUUAACUCUAGAUAUGGAAGAGUAGAACAGGAAGACAUGCUGAGGGAGCUCUGGCACAGUGAGGCCAGAGCAUGGGCAUUAUCUGAGGUGCUAAAAAAUGUACUCUCCUGAGCCCCACCCCACACCUACUGAACCAAAAUAUCCAGGAGUGGAACCCAGGAAUCUUCUUGCCUCUCUAGUUCCUCAGGGAAUUCUUAGGCACACUAAAAAAUAUUGAGUACCAUUGCUAUAGAAUCUAGAGAAUUCAUUGGAACCACAAAGGAGGAAAAGUGACUGUGUUAGUCAGCUUUUUGUUACUGUGACAAAAUACCUGAGAGAAACAGCAGAGGAAAGAUUCAUUUUGGCUCAUGGUUUCAAAUGUUUCAGUCCAUGCUUAGUUGACUCCUUGCUUUGGACAUGAGGCAAGGCAGAAUAUCAUAGUGGAAGGGCGUGGUAGAGGAAAACUGCACACUUCAGCCCUCAGGGCAGCCCUGGAAGCAGAGCUUGCGGGGCUGAGGAUAACAUAUAGUCACCAAGGUCACUCUCCCAAGAACCUCCUCCCUUCAACUAGGUCUUACCUCCUACAGUGUCCAGCACCUUAUGGUAGUCCAUUCAGCUAUGAAUCCAUCAGUAAAUACAUGGAUGAGUUUAGUGCCUUUGUGAUCUCAUCAUUUCCCAAAGGUCCCACCUCUGAAUAUUGUUACAUUGGGGAUCAAGCCCUCAACACAUGAACUUUUGGGGAACAUUCCGGAUCCAACCAUCUCAGAAUGUAGGGCUUUCAGUCCCAGACAUACCAGGGACUCUGCUCACCCUAAGAAGAGGCACACUGUUGGUAAGAAAGUUCAUAGGUCUAAGGAUAUUCAUCCUAUUGUUUUUUAAUCUUGCUUUAUUUUAUUUUAUUUUUUGGAAAAUGGUUUAAGAUACAGAAUUGAACAAAGGAGAAAUAAAAUCAUUCAGGGUCAUCACAUCCAGAAUCAUUCACUACUAACAACUUGGCAUACUUACUUUUGGUCAUUUUUUUAAUUAAAUAAAAAGCAUUGAUUUGUUUUUAUAAAUGCAUAUUUAUUUUAAAGAAUUAUUUAUUUAUUUAUUUUUUUUUUAAAGAGAGUGUGAGAGAGAGAGAGAGAGAGAGAGAGAGAGAGAGAGAGAGAGAAGGACUGAGAGAGAAUUUUUUGAUGUUUAUUUUUUAAUUUUUGGUGGGCACAACAUCUUUGUUUGUAUGUGGUGCUGAGGAUCGAACCCGGGCCGCACGCAUGCCAGGCGAGAGCGCUACUGCUUGAGCCACAUCCCCAGCCCCAUAAAGAAUUAUUUUAGUAUAGAAAAUAUAAAAGUAUUAAAAGGACUUUAGAUCCUCCCUCUAAUUAGAACCUUCUUUAAAUGUGAGUGACCUUAUUCCAGGAAGAUUUUCAUACACAGCAUAUGUGUGCACGGAUGGGUGUGUGGAUGGAGAUGAGUAUGACUGAGUUUGAGUCACAUCUUUUUUCAUGUUGUUGACAUUUUUGAAAUUGUUAUCUAUCUCAUAGUCCAUGACAUCUUUGCAUUGUGUCACAGUUACAAUGGCAGUGAUGUUCCUUUUUUGGAGUGUGACCCACCCACACACACUUCCACUUGCUUGUUUGAUCCAGCCCUCAACAUAAAAUCAUUAUUUUUUACUUCUUUGCAAACCUCAUUAAGAUAUAAUUUACAUAAAAUAAAAUUUUCCAGUUGUAAACAUAUAAUUCCAUGAUGUAUAAUGUAUAUAUAGUCAUGUAGCCUCCACCACAACUAUGAUAGAGUAUUUCUGUCACCUCCGAAGGUUUCUUUGGGCCUCUUUGUAAUAAAAUCCUUUGUGUUGGUAACCACUGAUCUGAUUUCUCCAUAUAUAUUUUCACCUGUUCCAGAGUGUUAUAUAAAUUGAAUUAUAUAGGAUGCAGUUUUUACUACGUGACUUUUUUCAUUUAGCAUAAUGCUUUUUAGAUUCAUCCACAUGUUUCAACAAUCCAUUCCUUUUUAUUGAUGAAUAAUAUUCUAUUUUUAUGGAUGCAACACACUUUGUUUAUACAUGAAUCAGUUGAUGGACAUUUGGGUUGUUUCCAAUUUUCAACUAUUGUGAAUAAAG